CUGAUGUGGACGGCCUUGGGCUCGCUCCUGGACUCUCGUCUGCGUGGCCAUGAGGAGCACCACGCUCUGGCCCCGGGGUGUAGGUAGAGCCCUGUCCCGCAGCAUUGCAGGUGAGCCUGUCCCCAGGCUCGUAUAUUCCUCGUUUUCUCAGUACCUGGUUGCUGAGGGGAAAAACCACACAGGGCACAAUC
rnacentral:snoRNA from 14 species